AACGGUCAAUAGUUGGAUUUCCAUCUAUUAUAGCAGUUCAAUGAUGAUUGGAGUUUGUCUUGUUAUUAUAAUCAUCAUCUUCUAGGGAAUGAAAUUACUACCAACUGGCAAAAAAAAAAAUGUGUUCUAACUAUAUAUGGAUCAGUGCUUGGAGCAAGAUUAUAUUUGCUACAUCACUUCUCAAUGAUGGUCAAUUUCGUUCUUUUAAAUUUUGGAUUUGAUGAAGAGUUAGUAACC